AGCAGCCGCGGUAAUUCCAGCUCCAAUAGCGUAUAUUAAAGUUGUUGCAGUUAAAAAGCUCGUAGUUGAAUUUCGGGAUCAGUAUGUUGGUCGUGCUUCGGUACGUACUGUCAUUACUGGUUUCUCCCUUCUGAAGAACCUUGAUGUCAUUAAUUUGGUGUCUUGGGGAAUCAGGACUGUUACUUUGAAAAAAUUAGAGUGUUUAAAGCAAGCAUACGCUUGAAUACAUUAGCAUGGAAUAAUGAAAUAGGACGUUUGAUUCUAUUUUGUUGGUUUCUAGGAUCGACGUAAUGAUUAAUAGGGAUAGUUGGGGGCAUUAGUAUUCAAUUGUCAGAGGUGAAAUUCUUGGAUUUAUUGAAGACUAACUACUGCGAAAGCAUUUGCCAAGGAUGUUUUCAUUAAUCAAGAACGAAAGUUAGGGGAUCGAAGACGAUCAGAUACCGUCGUAGUCUUAACCAUAAACUAUGCCGACUAGGGAUCGGAUG
rnacentral:rRNA from 1 species